rnacentral:rRNA from 1 species
UACGGAGGAUGCAAGCGUUAUCCGGAAUGAUUGGGCGUAAAGCGUCCGUAGGUGGCUGUGUAAGUCUGCUGUCAAAGAGCAAAGCUCAACUUUGUAAAGGCAGUGGAAACUACACGGCUAGAGUGCGGUCGGGGCAGAGGGAAUUCCUGGUGUAGCGGUGAAAUGCGUAGAGAUCAGGAAGAACACCAGUGGCGAAGGCGCUCUGCUGGGCCGUAACUGACACUGAGGGACGAAAGCUAGGGGAGCGAAUGGG